GGGAAAAUAAUGCUGAGACAGUCUGAACUUUUUGUUAGAGUUCAUGAAUUUUUAGGAGCUGUCGAGGCUUUUAAUGCUGCUUUGAAAUGGAGAACGGAAGGAAGCAUGGAGAGUUUCCUGUUUGUUCUGCUCGGUUUCAGUUCCAUGAAGAGGUUUCUGCUUUGGGGACCUUCUCCCACCACAGCUUGCAGUUCUGUUUUAGUCAGCUUCUGAAUGUCGAUAACCAAAGAUGUUUACUGUCCUUCCAUUGAAUGAAAAGAACAGAACCGAACAGAAGAAGGAACUCUGCUGUUUAUUCCUCAGAUCUGUGUGGCAAAGAUCUUCCUGCUGUGUUCUCUGUGUAUCUGUGUGUACUUGGUGCCCAUGAAGAACAGAAGAAGGUAUCAGAUACCUCGGAACUGGAGUUACAAGUUGUUGUGAGCUGGCAUAUGUGUGCUCUGAAUCAAAUCUGGAUCAUAGGCUCCACGAGUGAAAAUUUCAAAGAAUCAAUAAACUUUUUAAAGUCAAGUUUAAUUAAAGAAAA
ensembl:lincRNA Gm43614 predicted gene 43614